rnacentral:rRNA from 1 species
UCCGUAGGGUGAACCUGCGGAGGGAUCAUUACCGAGUUUACAACUCCCAAACCCAAUGUGAACCAUACCAAACUGUUGCCUCGGCGGGGUCACGCCCCGGGUGCGUCGCAGCCCCGGAACCAGGCGCCCGCCGGAGGGACCAACCAAACUCUUUACUGUAGUCCCCUCGCGGACGUUAUUUCUUACAGCUCUGAGCAAAAAAUUCAAAAUGAAUCAAAACUUUCAACAACGGAUCUCUUGGUUCUGGCAUCGAUGAAGAACGCAGCGAAAUGCGAUAAGUAAUGUGAAUUGCAGAAUUCAGUGAAUCAUCGAAUCUUUGAACGCACAUUGCGCCCGCCAGUAUUCUGGCGGGCAUGCCUGUCCGAGCGUCAUUUCAACCCUCGAACCCCUCCGGGGGGUCGGCGUUGGGGAUCGGGAACCCCUCAGACGGGAUCCCGGCCCCGAAAUACAGUGGCGGUCUCGCCGCAGCCUCUCCUGCGCAGUAGUUUGCACAACUCGCACCGGGAGCGCGGCGCGUCCACGUCCGUAAAACACCCAACUUUCUGAAAUGUUGACCUCGGAUCAGGUAGGAAUACCCGCUGAACUUAAGCAUAUCAAUAAGCGGAGGAA